UGGAUCACCUCCUUUCUAAGGAUAAGGAAGUACGUUUGGAAGUCUUAUUUAGUUUUGAGAGGUCUUAAAAAAGUAAAGAGAACGUUAAGAAAUCUGUAUGAAAAUAGGAAAGAGACGCAGUGUCAAAAGACACAAGGAAGUUUAUCAUUUUCACUAAGAUUUUAGUUCGAAUACAAUUUAGAUCCAUAAUAUAGUAUGAGUAACAAGAUAAGAAACGUUAACAUAUUAACUGUGGGGCCUUAGCUCAGCUGGGAGAGCGCCUGCUUUGCACGCAGGAGGUCAGCGGUUCGAUCCCGCUAGGCUCCAUAGACAAGGAAGUCUCUAAAAUACGUGAAGUCCAUUGAAAAUUGAAUAUCUAUAUCAAAUUCCACGAUCAUGAAAAUGAUUGUAGAAAAAGUAACAAGAAAUAAACCGAAAAAAAGAUAAACGCGAACAUAUUAAAAAAAAUAAAGAAGGUCGAAAGACUGGAAAUAAGGUUAAGUUAAUAAGGGCGCACAGUGGAUGCUUGGAACAGAA
rnacentral:tRNA from 1 species